AAUGGAAGCAAAGCAGAUGGCAAUGAGGCAGUGAGGACUGUUAUAGUAAAAGUUUGGAAAGAAGAAACAAACCGGUAAGAGGAAAGUAUUCCUGAGCUUUAUUACCUCUGCUCUCUGAUGCUGAUAGAAACAGAGCUAGGGAGACAGAAAUCAACAACUGAGGAGUCGUGUAAGCAGAAAGACAUUAAAUCCUGAGUAAGAAACAGACACAGGAGAAAAGCUUUUUAUGACGUUUAGUAUCUACAAGAAGAUAUGUUUCUAAGUGUUUCCUUAAUAUAAUUGUGAACUGAGUAUCAGACAUAAGCUAUUACAGAUUGGUGAGCAGCAAUCACUAGUAUAACAAUUAUUAUUAAUUUAAAAUGUAAAAUAUGCCUGAUACUGUCUUAAUAAUUUAUAGAGCUAUUAUUUUAUUUUAGCAUAUCAAAACUACACAUACUAAUGCCUUUUGUAUGUUCAUACUUAACCUGAUAUUCCAAAGUUUAAAAAUAAAAUACACUUUAUUGCUUCAUAGAAAUAAACUGUAACACUCAUAUAUUGACGAUGGGAGUUCAAAAUGGUACCGUUUUCCUUGAAAAGAAUUCAACAGUUUGUUUCGAGUCAGUUGCUCUUCAGAUUCAUUUUCCACUCUUUUCAUGAGGACCUCCUUUAACUUGAUCACCUGGGCUCCCUACCUUCCAGCCUCCAGAUGGAACUGAAGAAGAGGAGAGGUCAUUGUCCUGAGGGCAGGAGAGAGAGACUGGGGUAACUGAUCUCCCACUUCCUCAAUACCAGGCCAUAGUUGAGGCAAAAGAUACUUCCUUCAUCCUUUAGUAUUAUUCCCUUUGGGUAGCUUCUCUUCCAGAGCUAUAGCUCUCCUUGCAUUCUGGCUACUCUGUCCCCUUCAGGCAUACCAGCUGUUAGUCACUGCUAGUCCCUGGGUCUCUUACCCCUUUUCACACUUCGGUGAAAAGUGUACUCAUGAAAAUUAUCUUCACUUAAUAACUUUAUUCUUUUUUCCUGUUGGAACCCUAUGUGAUAAAGGGAUGAAUGACAGAACAAUAGCAAGAGCUUAAAUAACAAAUUCUAUGCUAGGCCAUAAACAAAUAGGAGAGGAUUUACUCAAAGAAAUUAUGUCAGAUCAAUAGUCAAGUUAUAUUUACUAUAGCCAAAGCCCUUGGAGGUAUUUAUGCAAUAGUAAACACCUAAACAGAAACAUGAAAAUUGACAGGAACUAAUCUAAUAGGAUACAGGUUGAAUCCAAUAGCGUUUAGAAAAGAAUGAAAGAAAAUUAUAUACAAUGAUUGAAUUGAAAUAAAAAAUUCUUAAUAAAUAGUUCUCUGUAGGAAUGACAGGUUUAGCAAAUAAAAAUACAGGAUGCCCAGUCCAAUUUGCAUUUCAGAUAAAUGGUAGAUAAUUUUUUAGUAUGUUAUCUGAAAUGCAAAUUUAACUUGGCCCUCUGUCUUUUCUCUGGCAAGCCCAUUCUUGUGAAUAAUUUAUUAACACAGUCUAUUACUUUUCAAAAUCUCUUAUGAUUUGCCUACUAAACAAUCAACAAGGUACAAAUGACCUGGUGACAGAUGAGGUCAAGUGGAUCAAGAACUAGUGUAUAGGAGACUAAUGGGUAGAAGGAACUGUAAAAGGAAGCAAUUCACCCAAACAACAUGCUACCAUGGGAGUGACCUGUUUGUUGACGGAGAGAAAGAGAGAGAAAAAAGAGUGAUUGUGUAUAUGGAGUCACUAAUAUGAAUUCUGGGGAUAAGUGCAGUCAGGGUGUUUUCAGAACAAAUUUUAACAAACAGGAAAAUGUAUGAAAGUUCAAUAUGUGACAUGGAAUUUUGAUCAGAAAAUCUAGAAAAUGAAAAUUGUGGUUAGAGAACAUAGAUAAGUGUGAAAUUAAAAAUCUGUGUCAAGAUUAGUCAAAUUAGUCAAAACUGUGGGCACAAACAGAAGUAGUGGUAAACAUAAAAGGCGGUCCAAAAAGUGAAAUACAAAUAAUAGUUGCUUGGAAGUAGAGACAACUGACUUAUACUUCUAAUAUGGCCUUGAGUAAACCUCAAUCUCCCCAGGCUCUAUUAGUUUAACUACAAAAUGAAUAGGCAGUUAGGUAGACUUUAUUUUAAAUUGCAGCCUUAAAAACCUAUGCUCCAUAAUCUAGGAUUCCAAAUGGAAUUGGACCCAAGAGAACAAUGGGUGAAUUUUUUUCAGACAGUAAAGCCAUGCGAUUGUAUUAGAAUCAGAAAUAACUGAUGACAUUGUUUGGAUGUCUUACCUCUCCAAAUCCCAUGUUGACACUUGAUCUCCAAUGUUGAAGACAGGGGCCUAGUGGGAAGUGUUUGGGUCAUGGGUGCAGAUCCUUCAUUAAUGUCUUGGUGCUCUCUGCAAGGUAACAAGUGAGUUCUCACUCAGUUAGUUACUAUGAGAUCUGAUUGUUAUAAAAGACUCUGGGACCACCCUCCUCUCUCUCUUGUUUCCUCUUAAGCCAUAUGAUACCCUUGCUCCCCUCUUCACCUUCCUCCAUGAGUAAAACUUUCAAAGGUCUUACCAGAAGCUAAGCAGAUACUGCUGCCAUUCUUGUAAAGCCUGUAGAACCACGAGCCAAAUGAACCUCCUUUCUUUAUGA